GAGUUUGAUCUUGGCUCAGAUUGAACGCUGGCGGCAUGCCUUACACAUGCAAGUCGAGCGGCAGCGCGGGGGCAACCCUGGCGGCGAGCGGCGAACGGGUGAGUAAUGCAUCGGAACGUGUCCUCUUGUGGGGGAUAACCAGUCGAAAGACUGGCUAAUACCGCAUGAGAUCGAGAGAUGAAAGCAGGGGACCGCAAGGCCUUGCGCGAGAGGAGCGGCCGAUGCCGGAUUAGCUAGUUGGUGGGGUAAAGGCCUACCAAGGCGACGAUCCGUAGCUGGUCUGAGAGGACGACCAGCCACACUGGGACUGAGACACGGCCCAGACUCCUACGGGAGGCAGCAGUGGGGAAUUUUGGACAAUGGGGGAAACCCUGAUCCAGCCAUGCCGCGUGUGUGAAGAAGGCCUCGGUUGUAAG
rnacentral:rRNA from 1 species